CCAUGUGGAAAAGCAAUACAUUUUUGCAUACUUAAAAAAAAAGUAUAAAGGAAAUACUUUAAAAAGAAUGAACUGAAUGAUUUUAGAUGCUUAAUUGCAUGUUGAUUUCAAUUACAUGAAAAUUGUUUAUAAUUUAAAAGUACAUUAAAUGUAAUUAGCUGACCCAGCAGGAAUGGCCCUUUAUAUGUAAUUUCAUAAUUUCUUGAAGUUGUUUAAAACACAAAAUACAUUUACUUAAAUAUAUUUGAGAGUCUGUGGCUACUGCUCUAGUGGGAAUAAUUUUGCAUACCUCGUUUCUUAAACCUACUAUAGUGAACAUAUAGAAACUAGAGAUUAUGGUUUAUAAAGUUUUAAAUAUGGAUAUUUUUUCCUACACAAACACAUCGCUUCACUUCAGAAGGCCUUCAUUAACCCCCUGGAGCUUUGUGGAGCACUUCUUAUGAUGGAUUGGAUGCACUUUUUUGGGCUUCAAAAUCUCAAUCCCCAUUCACUGCAAUUAUAGAGCUUGGAAGAGCGAAAUUUUUUUUAAUAUAACUCUGAUUGUAUUUGUCUGAAAGAAGAAAGUCAAACAAUUUAAUAUGGAUUUUAGUUUUUUUUAAAAAUGGGAACUUGUUCUUAAAUUAAGUCUCAGUAGUUUGCACAUGGUGAAUUUGUUGGUGUGUCUCUUUAGACACUGGGCUGCCCUGUCAGACCUGGUGAGCUCUUUACUCAACUCUAUGAAGCCUAUGGUACUCUAUGGAGCCAUUUGCUCCCUGCUGCUGCUGCUCUUCCUCUUCCUUAUCAUCUUCGCUCUCCUGGGCAUGCAGCUCUUCGGCGGAAAGUUCAACUUUGAUGAGACUCAAAUGAAAAGAAGCACCUUUGACACUUUUCCAUCUGCCCUGCUCACCUGUUUCCAGUAAUUGGCGUGGAGAGGGUAUAACACGCCAGGAGAGAUGGAAGCAAGUGAGAGAGAGUGGGACUGCUGACGGAAGCCGGAAACGGAAACCGGAAGACGGAAAGCGAAAGCACCGCGUGAACUAGCAAAAUAGAAGUCACCUUCGGGUGUUAGAAACCUUUGAUUUGUCUUAUGUUAAAUAAAUAUACGUCAGCAGUCCAGCCGACCCCUUUGUCCUCUUCCUUACCCACACGAACUCACAACACUGGUGCCGAAACCCAGGAGGAAGAAGGACCGUUGCCGCCGCCAUGCAAAGCCCGUCCUCCACGCCGCUUGCGGACAUCAUUUCUUCCCUCGCGGUCCUCCACCGCGAGCAACACCAGGCGCUGCUAGACCUGAGGACCGAUCAGGAGCGAGGGUUCCAGGCCAUCGUCAAGGCCCAGCAGGAGGACCGCGAGAGGUUCCGGGGCUGGAUUGAUCGGGAGGUUCGCGCCGGUGUGCGCCUCAUUCCCCUGCUCUCCGGCGAGGCCCAGGUGGUUGCACAACAACUUCCGGUGGCGAACCUCCUGGUCUUCAACGACCUGAAGAGGGCUAUCAUCCAAGCGGGUCGGCCGAUCGCCAGAACAACACCGCCAGCGCUUCCGCUCCCUGGACUUGGGCGAGGCCGGCCGGCCCUUCGCGAUGGCCCAACAGCUCCGGGACUCCUGCCGCAAGUGGCUACUGGCCGAGGGAAGCGACGUGGAGCAUGUCGUCGACCUGGUGGUGCUGGAGCAGUUCAUAACUCGGCUCCCCAAGAAGACCUGGGGUCUGGACCUGGCGGAGGACCACAUGGUGGCGUGCCCAGGGGUCGGCACACCCCCGCCUACUAACUCUCUCUCCCCUUCUCUCUCUCCCCCUUCUUUCUCUCGCCCUGUCCCUCUCCUUAGGUCCCGUCCACCUGGCCCUCCUCGUGUCCUGCCCCGGGGGCGGAGCGGGACGGACCAAGGCCGCUUCGCGAGUACCAGGGCCCCGCCCAGGGGGGCAGGCCUUGGGGCUGCUGGAGGGGACAGUGCUUCAAUUUCUCCGCUCUCUCCGCGCCAAUUCCCCUCUCCACUCCCUGCCAUUGGGGUGGCGGGUAGGUCUGGGCUGGCCUGUUGGCGUUGCGGGGACCCGGAGCAUUUUGUGGACAGGUGUCCAGUGAUGGAAGUGGUAUCAAGUACCACUGAGUAUCAAGGGGGGUACAUAUCCGGCCUUCGUGGAUUCAGGAUGCAACCAAACCUCAAUCCAUCAAAGCCUGGUUCAACCGGGGGCAUUGGAUACCAGCCGCGUGGUUAAGACAGACGCGUCGGACAGGGGGCUGGGGGCGGUCCUGUCCCAGGAGAUAGAGGGGGAGGAACAACCGGUGCUGUACAUUAGCCGCAAGCUCUACUUUUUGUGUUUUUAUUGAGAGGGAAGAGAGCAGUGCAUCUCCAUACAUUAGAAUUUUUCUCAAAUUCACUUUAGUAAUUCAACUUAAAUGGUAAAACUCAUAUUAAUAAAUUCAAUGCGCAGACUGAA